rnacentral:rRNA from 1 species
UACGGAGGGUGCUAGCGUUGUUCGGAAUUACUGGGCGUAAAGCGUGCGCAGGCGGUUCGUUAAGUUCGUCGUGAAAGCCCCGGGCUCAACCUGGGAACUGCGAUGGAAACUGGCGGGCUUGAGUGUGGCAGAGGGGGGUGGAAUUCCGCGUGUAGCAGUGAAAUGCGUAGAGAUGCGGAGGAACACCGAUGGCGAAGGCAGCCCCCUGGGCCAACACUGACGCUCAGGCACGAAAGCGUGGGGAGCAAACAGG